rnacentral:misc_RNA from 1 species
GAGGUUUCAGGACUUUCCUCGUCUCAGUGAGAUGUAGUAGUUCACUGUAGUAGUCCAAUGCUGCUGUACAGGUGUAAAGCUUGUAUUUUAACGAGAUACUUGCCGCAGCAUGGAAAUUCUUAUCAGGAUGAAUCUCCAAGUCUACACCAGGCACUCCAACGAGGGUGUAGCAGAUAAUCCAGGCUUCACGCUAUUUCGUUCCACCGUGUACGCGCCAUCUUUCCACGUUCAAUUUUCCUUUCACUUUUCGCACACCCGAUGAAGCUUCUCUCGUACAAGGUGCUCGUAGAGAUUGAUAAAUGGGAAAUAGAAGAACGAACAGGAGCAAUUUGGAAGAUGAACCAACCGUGCACAGCUUGGUGACCCGACCCGCUAAUUUUCGUCUCAUUCGUUCGCUUUUUGGAAAAUCUUAUUUACUUAGGGGCUUUCUGAUAAAUAAUUUUCACUUGCAAAUUGAUUGUUCGUAAUCCAGAGAUACGAUGAAAGAUCGAACGUUUCUGCAAUGUAAAUAAAAUGUUGAAAUAGAUAAUAAUUUACAACUUGAAGUUUGUAAUUUGUAAUUUUCAAAGUUUCUAUGAAAUAUUACAAAAAAUAUAUAUAUUAUAUAUGGAACAAAUAUGUACAAACAAAUGUCUAUGUAGAGAUACCUUUCUUUUUUAAUUUGUAAAAAAUAUGAAUUUGC